rnacentral:lncRNA from 1 species
GUAAGCUUAUGCUCUCCUCUCAAGACGCAUUAAAGCUUUCCUGCAGAAGGAUCCGAGUGUCCUGCGUAUGAUUUCUUGCUGGCGAGAAAUACAGAGAGCGCGCGGGACAUAUGGUGCCGAAACCCGGGAACAUGUGAACAUUUCCAGCACCUCGGAGACCCCUCUAACGAGGCGGAUUCAGAACUGCAGGAGAUGUUCACAUGUUCCCGGGUUUCGGCACCAUAUGUCCCGCGCUCUCUGUAUUUCUCGCCAGCAAGAA